GUUCUGUUGUCAGGUUGUACCUCUCAACGUGCGGGGGUUUUCU
rnacentral:misc_RNA from 1 species